GCUCCCGUAGCUCAGUGGUAGAGCACGGCACUUAUGGGUGGGAGCCUCCUGUGUUUGAAGGCUGUAACAAGCUGAGCUAUGCCGGGGUCGUGGGUUCGAUCCCCAUCGGGAGCA
rfam:Nematocida sp. 1 ERTm2 unplaced genomic scaffold supercont1.1, whole genome shotgun sequence.